rnacentral:misc_RNA from 1 species
CCGCAGCCCGGCCUGAGUGGAGCUCAUUUUUUUGCGUUGGGAAAAGCUCGGCAAAAAAUAGCGGGAACGGAGGACGGAAAUAGC